CUCAUACUCUCUCCGUCUCAAAAUUCUUGUCUUAGAUUUGUCUAGAUACGGAUGUAUCUAAUACUAAAAUGUGACUUGAUACAUCCGUAUUUAGACAAAUCUAAGACAAGAAUUUUGGGACGGAGGGAGUAUAUA
rnacentral:pre_miRNA from 1 species